rnacentral:tRNA from 1 species
CGGGGUGUGGCGCAGCCCGGUUAGCGCACCUGCAUGGGGUGCAGGGGGUCGGAGGUUCAAAUCCUCUCACCCCGACCA